rnacentral:lncRNA from 1 species
CAUGGUUGUCAUUGCAUAGCUCUAGAUUAAAUAAUAAGAAUAUAACCAAAAGAUUUAUGCAUUAGUGCAUGAACAAAUAGAAAAAAAUAAGCCUAUAAUAUCCCAUGCUAUAUGCACACCAAGUGAAGGCCAAACAGAAGAUCGCCAAUAAGAAAAAUAGAACUAUGUGAGUAUAAUUUUUCAGGAAACGAUAGAAUGGUGAGAUUCAUUGUGCAAUAAUGAUUAUAAGCUCGGGUAUGUAAAUUUGAACAAAUAGAAGAUUAAGAAAGGGAAACAUGCAACAAAAAAAGCUUUCGAAAAGCAGUAGUAUUUUUACCUCUGUAACAGAGGAAGUACAAAAAUGUAUUAGUUGGCAGCACUCCGGCUGGCGAAUUGCCUAGGAAAAAGGACCAGUAGGUAUAAUAAUGGUGUUACUUUCUUGCACAAGAACCAAAACUUUGCCAAAAAGUAAAAAAUAUUGGGCACAUUGCACCUUUAUUUUCCCUGUAAUCCUUACUUUUUCUUCUAGACUGUAUGAUGCCGGUGCAAGCUAGCCAGCAUCUUGAGAUUAGUCCAUCCAAAAAGCACACCAAAGGUAACAGUUGGAUUGAUUGUAUCAUCCCUGAAACACCAUUAUUACAAAUUCAGUUGCCGCUUAAUAGUAAAUAGAAGUGUACUGCUUGCUUAUCACGCUUACUUAGGACUCAUAGGCCUUAUCUAAUCCCUCUCCGGCCAAAGCAAACCAUCUAUCUAUGCGAAAUAGGCAAGAGGUAGGCAAAGAUGAUAUAUACCUAAGAGUAUAUGUCAAUCUAAACUAAAGUACUGCUCACAAGAAAGCGAGCAUGAUAACACAUCGUUGCUUGCUCUAAUAAUAAAUAAGUUGUUGGAAAGGAGGAGGCUAUUUUAUUUAUAAAGUUUAGUUUAGUGAUUUAGUACAAAUUAAUAAGGACAUGUCCAGACCUGACAGGCACAACAACCUCAAAUGCAUGGGGAUGGUUUGGUUAAAUUAGGAUGAGCAGAAAUGAAACACACCAUAUACAUUUUCCAUGCUUCAACAUAUAUCCAUGAAAAGCAGAGAACUAUUACACGUCCUCAUAUACUCACUAAAGAAGUAGAGAAUAGCAAUUGCUACUAAACUAUUUGUAUGCAUCCACAUACACUAAUUAGAAAAACAGAGUAAUGUGUGCAUGUUAUAUAAGUUAGUCGACUACCAAUCAUACGAACCUUUCUUUAGCAUGUUUGAGAAGAAUAACACGGCAGGAUCGACCAAAGCAAUCUUUCGCUUGAGUUGCUUAUCCUUGGUCGUUUCCAGAAUCCAGGUAAAAAAUAUGUACGUAUAUGGUGUUUCUCCAUAGAAAGGAUCUCCUCUGGCGCUGGGGGACAUUUGCAUUUAUCUACUGUCUCUCCUCAGAUAGUGCCUC